CAUGUCUGGGCAGAAUCCACCAGUCAAGCAAAGAGGACGAUACACUAGCACUCAGAAGAAGAGGAAAGAUGGGAACAGAAAGUUCUUACAUACAUAUAAUGGCUCUAUAUAUAUUAUAUAUAGCUCCAUUUUGAUUCGGACCGAGAUGCUGGGUGACAUCUCUGUUUUACGAGGCAGCAAAUGGAAGAUUUUACACCUCUGCCACUGGAAAUGGUGCUGUUAAAGGAAAUAGAGGUAUGAGCGUGUUACUGGGUUUUCACCUGAGGUGUCAUAGCUUGUCUUUGAUCUACUGUAUAUCAGUCUCCUAUAUCCAAGAGUAAAAAAGGGGCAGUUUGUGCAUUUUGAGCCUUCCAUGUGGCAGAAUGAGAAAACUUCAGGUCUAUUUAAAUGUGAGAAGAUGUUGGAGUGCUAGAUGUGCUAGUCCUCUCCUGCUUGGCUGGCUAACCUCCAUGUUCCUUGUCUAUGGACACUUGUCAACACAAAAAUGAUGAUCAAAAAGGAUGAGAUAACUACAUACAGGACAAGUGCUCUCAGAGGUCGCUGACACUGCUGUGUGUCUAACAGAGAAGAGAUGAGACUGCCAGAGAUUCUGAGAUUGGAUGAGAAGAGCAGUUCCUUCGGGAUGAAGGUCACUCCUUCUCCGACUGUUUAACAUGAGUUACGUCAGAAUGAGAGUCCAAACAGAUGAUAAAAACACAAUAAUCCACAAGUAAUCCACACCACUCCAAGCACAGAUCAAGCAUUGUUUAUAAGCAAAAACAGUUCAAAACAGUUCUAAACAAAUAUGUUGAUGGAUUUUGAUGUGAGAAGACAACAUACUGUAAAUCCCAAAUCAUCCAUGGAACAAAAUUUUAGUGUAGCAGGUACACAAAAAAUCAAGAAUGCAAAAAUAUGUAUGUUCACAAAAACACAUCCCGUAUUAGCUUGACAUAUUUUUUUUUUGUUAACACUUUAUUUUGAUGGUCCCUUUUGAACAUUCUGUUGACAGUAAGUAAUGUUGCAACUACAUGUCAACAAACUCUCAAAAGAGUAUUAGUAGACUGUCUGCUUCAUAUCUACUAAUUCCUUAUUGUGUUGGUCUCCCAACAGAUUUUCUACUGACUAUAAGUAACUUUGCAAGAAUGUGUCAACUUAAUCUAACCUUAA